CUUCGAAGAGAGAGGGAAGAGAAACGCGACAGUGGGAGCUCCAUUGAAGCUGGUCACCGUUGUUGCUGCCGUCCGAGCCACCACCAGGGGAAGCCCCUGCCGCCGUUGCCACGGGUGGAGUCUGCCAUCGAGUUGUGCGCCGUUGGUGGAGCUAUACCUUGCCGGAGUUGCUUUUCACCACUAUCAGUUCAGUUUCACCGCAAUCCUGCUCCACUUACUGGUGGAGUGGCUUUGACAAAUGGUUUAGUUUCCGCAUUAGAAGAAAAGUUUGUCUUAAUUUUGUUUGAUCCUGUAGCGUAUUUAAAUGCUUUGUUACUGAAUGAUUGGCUGCAAUACUGAAAUUUGGGAUGAUAAUUACUGUAUUCUUCGUAAAUGUACUUUCUAAAUAUGCUAACAACACAUGGAAACCCAUUAUAACUUAUAAGCACAUUAUCAUAUUAACAAUGUUGGCCUAAAAGUCAUAUGAUUAGUGCAUGUGAUUUUUCAUUGAUAGGUCAUAUGCAAGUAGAAUCUUGGAAGAAAAAUGCAUUCGCAUUGAUUUAAUGACCUCUAACAUCAAUUUGUUUCUUUUGGUUGUA